CCUGCAAGAGCACAAGAGAGAGAGAGAAAAGAGGCAGUUAGUAGACACGUUCGUUCGCAGCAGGAAUAACGGAAAUGUAAACAGUGUGUGUUCCAGUGGGACCAGAUGGGACAAAAUGUUCGAAGACGGCUAUGCGUGUAUGACAUGUCAGUCACUGAUGGACAUGGACUAAUGGAAAUACUAAUGGUACAGCAGUUUUCUAAUUUGACUGCUCUUUAAAUAUGGCCAUUUCCAUUCAAAAUGUAACAAAUUCAAAACAAAACAGAUGUUAUAUUUUAAGUAACUCUUCAUUAGUUCAGAUAAUUGCCAAAGCCUUCGCAAACAAAACUCAAAUUAAAGUUAAAUUUGUUAAAAUCGGGACACUUAUUCAUACUAUAUGGAAAGGUGCUUUUAUUGACUUUUACUUUUUUGUUCUCGCUGGAUCUUUCAAUGGAAAUGCCCGUAUAUUAAACCAGAAUACUACUAAUAGUAGUAUUAAUAGUACUAAUACUAUUUGGCUCACACAGUAGGCUCCUUUUUUUGAGUUUAAGCCACAAUUUAUUUUGGUUGCUGCUUUUGUCCGGCCAACUCCGUGUAGGUUAUCCACCAGAGUCACCUUACAAGGCAGUACUAUCUAUCGUUGACUACACUCCCUGGGGCCACCGAUGGCAUAAAUCAAAUACUCAUAUUAUUGCUUAGGCGUUGUUGCUACAUCUCAAUUAGUACAUGCAGCGAGCGAGCAGCGCCCACAAUCAACAAGUUAUUAAUUGCCAAACGUAAACAGCCAAACACGACCAGCCAACCCAACGACUGUUGUAGUUGUCAGAACGCCAGGGGUGACCUUCUCGAAAUCUACAAACACACAUACACAUACACAGAUCCAUAUACAUGCAUCUGGACAUACUAUGUACCUUUGCCUAUGUACAUUCGCACCCGUAUCAGCCAAACACUGGCUAUAAAACGUACGAUUUCGUGGUAGCGAAAAAUAAAUAAAAACUAUUAUAAUAAUUAUAAUGUGUAUUAUAUUUAUCAUUUAAAAGCUACAAUUUCUCCAAAUGUGUACAUACACUUGUAUGAAUUUAGCUGUGCUGCUUUUUUAUGUUCAGUGCAUGAUUUAAGCUCAAAUUUCAGUCAUAUCUUAACUUUAGUAAAAAGCGUAUUUUAUUUGAAUAGUGCUGAAGUGGUCUUUAUGGUCGCUAUCAGGUUUGAGAGUCCAAAUAUAAUUUUGUUUUUUUGCUGAUAGCCUGACCGUCUCUAAAAAACAUCAGGAAAAAAUUUCUCAAAGUGAAUGUUUCGGUUUGUGUGACGAAGAGAGUAGGUCCGAGCCAGGGAGCAGUAAAAAUGUGUAGUGCCAUUCGAAACGGAAUAAUGAGCACGUGUCGCCAAGUGGGCCAGAGGGGGGUCAGAGGGCAGACAGGCCUAGGAUUGUUGGCCUAGGAGCGCGCUCGUGCGAGUGGGAAACAGAAGCAAAAAAAAAGGGGGAAAGAAAAAGAAAUAUGGAGCGGAAUCAAGGAAAAUGGUGUUUAAAAAUCCCCCUUAUUUCCUAUGUACUCUCCACACUCCGUACACACUCGUGGCUUACGAGUUGAGUGCUCUCACAAAUACAGCCGAAAAGCAAUCGAAAUGCAUUUGGAUUGAAGGGAGAUUGAAGCCGCAGCCGCAGCACAUGGAAAACCGCUAUGGGCUCGUACGCCUGUAGUAGUAGUAGUAGUAGUAGUAGUAGUAGCAGCAGCAAAAAGAAAAAAGUUCACACACACGAACAGACCUCCAAAAAAUGGCAACACUUGCCACACAAACGGUUUACACGACACUAAAGGCGGCCACACGCCAAAAACUCGACAAGUGGG